rnacentral:RNase_P_RNA from 2 species
UUUUAGGCAAUCGCUGCAUUUAAUGUAGAGGAAAGUCCAUGCUCACAAAGUCUGAGACGACUUUAAAGUUCAUGCUAAGGGAAAAAAUAACCUUAGGUAGCAAAUGCUAACGGCUUCGAAAUAACCUUAACUGGUUAAAUUAGAUAUAAAAGUGCCAAAGAGACGAGUUUACUUGGAAACGAGUAAAGUGGAACGUGGUAAACCCCAUGAGUGAGAAACCCAAAUUUUGGUAGGGGAGUUUUAAAUUGCAAAAUGAAGCAAGAUAAGAAUCGCAAGAUAGAUAAAUGAUUGCCACCUAAAAAGGUACAGAACAUGGCUUAUU